GUGGCAGCCGCCGCCGCGGUAAUACGUAGGGUGCGGGCGUUAAUCGGAAUUACUGGGCGUAAAGCGUGCGCAGGCGGUUUGUUAAGGUAGGCGUGAAAUCCCCGGGCUCAACCUGGGAACUGCGUUUAUGACUGGCAGGCUAGAGUAUGGCAGAGGGGGGUGGGAUUCCACGUGUAGCAGUGAAAUGCGUAGAUAUGUGGAGGAACACCGAUGGCGAAGGCAGCCCCCUGGGCCUGUCCUGACGCUCAUGCACGAAAGCGUGGGGAGCAAACAGGAUUAGAUACCCUGGUAGUCCACGCCC
rnacentral:rRNA from 1 species